UACGUAGGGCGCAAGCGUUGUCCGGAAUUAUUGGGCGUAAAGAGCUCGUAGGCGGCCUGUUACGUCUGCUGUGAAAUCCCGGGGCUUAACCCCGGGCGUGCAGUGGAUACGGGCAGGCUGGAGGCAGGCAGGGGAGAACGGAAUUCCCGGUGUAGCGGUGAAAUGCGCAGAUAUCGGGAGGAACACCGGUGGCGAAGGCGGUUCUCUGGGCCUGUACUGACGCUGAGAAGCGAAAGCAUGGGGAGCGAACAGG
rnacentral:rRNA from 1 species